AGAGAAGGCAAGUGCUGACAAGUCAGUAAAAAUGUUUCUUUUCAAAUGAGAGGUGGGUAGGAUAUCUGUACUAUUAUAAAAAGCAUGAGUUGAGGUGAGGUCUGGCCAAGGAUCAAAACCAGAAAUGAGGAUAUGAAAGAGUGCAUAUUAGGAAAUUAGAAGACCGUAAAUCAGUCUUUUAAUCAGCCUUGGCCUUCAUGUUUCAAUUGGGAAGAUACAUUAGAUUUUUCAGAUACCCUUGAGCUUGGUUUGUUCCCUAAAAUACACUAUAGAAUCACAGACUUCAUCAGCUGAAUCCUCCUUACUCUGCACCUUCCAGGCAGGAAGAAUUCCCACUCGGAAAUGUCACCACAGGGGAAGCUCCAAGCUUGGUAGAGCCACAUGGUUCCAGCAACUCCUUUUUUCCAUUUGAUUUUAUAAUCCCAUUUAAAACGUUUAAUUGCUACAGGGAGAAAGAAAACUGGAAAUAUACUUCACUAACAUGGAUUUUAAACAAUGGUAAAUCAGUCCUUUUGACACUUUUGAUUUUUCUCAUUUUUUGAUUUUUCUCAUUUUUCAAAUGAGCUUUGGAUACUCCUGUUUUUUUUACGUUUCUUUAGUAUUUUAAUAAUAAAGAUUUAAACAAAGACAUGAAAGAAAAUGCUUCAUUGGGACACAUUAGUUAUGCAAUUUUCUUUGUAUUUCAAAGUAUUAUAUUUAAAGCUAGGAAAUAUUGCUGACUACAAAUGAAUAGGAUGAAUAUUUUUCUGUCUGUGUCCUUCAUAUUGUGAACAUGCUGUCUUCAUGUUCAUUCACUUCCGUUUCAAAUGCACAUCCAGGCCUCUUUUCUCAAAGCCAAGAUCUCAAAAUCAGGUCUUUCUUCCCUUCACCUCUCUCCCCCUGUCCUCCCUCCUUCUCUUUCCCUUACACCCUCCCCUUCCCUCUGUCCAUCCUUUUUGUAAACUUCUUUCCCCCAAGUCUCAAUUCCCCAUGAAGAAGACUAGAGGACUCACCUGGUUUUGAGAUUCCCAGUGUCUCUCAUUGUGUGAACCACAGGAAUUAGGAGAGUUGAUUGUGUAUCUGGGCCUGGGUUCUGUCUCUAUCAGCCUCAGAGUCUUCACAGCUUCCUCUACCUGCUUUGUUAAUUCAUUUACAUAAUGAGCUCAGCAACACACAAGCUCUGAGAAAACAAGAAAUCCAGGGAGAAGAUAUAAGACUGCUUAUCAAGACAAUGAUGUUCCAAGAAUAACAGCAAAACCAUUGUCAGCAAGAUGGAACAAGCCAAGAACUGCGGAAAGUUACUUGCCUUCCACAGAUUAUCUUAUGACAAUAUACACACAGAAGAUAAUUACCAGGUGGUCGGCAUGAGCUUUGAAAAAGAGAUGUCAUAUAAAUUAAAGGCGUUAUCAUUAUUUUUAUUGCUGGAUUAAUUUGGUCGUAACACAAUCUAACAAUAAAGACAUUACCUAGAUGUA